rnacentral:rRNA from 1 species
AUGAACGCUGGCGGCGUGCCUAAUACAUGCAAGUCGAGCGAACAGAUGAGGAGCUUGCUCCUCUGACGUUAGCGGCGGACGGGUGAGUAACACGUGGAUAACCUACCUAUAAGACUGGGAUAACUUCGGGAAACCGGAGCUAAUACCGGAUAAUAUAUUGAACCGCAUGGUUCAAUAGUGAAAGACGGUUUUGCUGUCACUUAUAGAUGGAUCCGCGCCGCAUUAGCUAGUUGGUAAGGUAACGGCUUACCAAGGCAACGAUGCGUAGCCGACCUGAGAGGGUGAUCGGCCACACUGGAACUGAGACACGGUCCAGACUCCUACGGGAGGCAGCAGUAGGGAAUCUUCCGCAAGGGGCGAAAGCCUGACGGAGCAACGCCGCGUGAGUGAUGAAGGUCUUCGGAUCGUAAAACUCUGUUAUUAGGGAAGAACAAAUGUGUAAGUAACUAUGCACGUCUUGACGGUACCUAAUCAGAAAGCCACGGCUAACUACGUGC